rnacentral:misc_RNA from 1 species
UCCGGUUCAUCACCGGCAGUCUCCUUAGAGUCCCCGACUUUACUCGAUGGUAACUAAGGACAAGGGUUGCGCUCGUUACGGGACUUAACCCAACAUCUCACAACACGAGCUGACGACAGCCAUGCAGCACCUGUCUCUGCGUUCCUUUCGGCACACUAGCCUCUCAGCUUGCUUCGCAGGAUGUCAAGGGUAGGUAAGGUUCUUCGCGUUGCAUCGAAUUAAACCACAUGCUCCACCGCUUGUGCGGGCCCCCGUCAAUUCCUUUGAGUUUCAACCUUGCGGCCGUACUCCCCAGGCGGAAGACUUAUCGCGUUAGCUUCGAUACUGAAUGGUUCCCCAUCCAACAUCUAGUCCUCAUCGUUUACAGCGUGGACUAC